AGCAGGCGGCGUGCUAUACAUGCAGUCGAGCGGACAGAUGGGAGCUUGCUCCCUGAUGUUAGCGGCGGACGGGUGAGUAACACGUGGGUAACCUGCCUGUAAGACUGGGAUAACUCCGGGAAACCGGGGCUAAUACCGGAUGCUUGUUUGAACCGCAUGGUUCAAACAUAAAAGGUGGCUUCGGCUACCACUUACAGAUGGACCCGCGGCGCAUUAGCUAGUUGGUGAGGUAAUGGCUCACCAAGGCAACGAUGCGUAGCCGACCUGAGAGGGUGAUCGGCCACACUGGGACUGAGACACGGCCCAGACUCCUACGGGAGGCAGCAGUAGGGAAUCUUCCGCAAUGGACGAAAGUCUGACGGAGCAACGCCGCGUGAGUGAUGAAGGUUUUCGGAUCGUAAAGCUCUGUUGUUAGGGAAGAACAAGUACCGUUCGAAUAGGGCGGUACCUUGACGGUACCUAACCAGAAAGCCACGGCUAACUACGUGCCA
rnacentral:rRNA from 1 species